rnacentral:lncRNA from 1 species
CAGCACUGCUGGUGUGAAUGCCUGUGAUGGAGAGGGAAUGCUGUAUUCUGGCUCUCUGUGCCUCCGGGCUGGUGGGAAAACGGCCAGACCCUCCACUGCAGCAGAUUCAUGCAGGGUGAUUCGGAGCCACUAAAAUGUAAAGAAAGACUGUUUGUUUUCCCAGCUCAGUUUUCAGAGAGAAUCCUGCAAUAUGUCCUUGGAAGGUCUCUGCUGAAAAUUUCAAUGCCUCCUGCAAAAAGAAGGAAGAGAAAGAAAAGGAGAAAACAGAGGCAGAGGAUCUUUCCCUAGAAGAGAUUCUGUGAAACGCUCCCUCUUAUGGAAACACACAUAAAGUCUCUCUCUUGCCUGUCUCCCGUUGAAGAUCAACCAGUUCUCCUGCCAGGUUUGAGGACCCGGGCUCAGGCCCCGGCAGGUAUCCGGGAUGGUCCCUCUCCCUAACCCGGGCAAGGAGCAUCGGUGACCGCUGCAAGCCCUCGGCAGCAUCCCAGCUUGGCAGCCCCUCCCCCUGGCCUCCCCAACCCGGCGCCCUGGGGAGGAUGGGGCACUUACAGGCGGCGGCUGAGACCCUCCACCGAGCGCCCGCAGGAGGGCACCGCGUAGCUCAGCAGGAACACCGCGACGCUCCACUGCUGAACCAGUCUCCGCUGCAUCGUCUCCGCUCGCGCUCGGGACCUGCAACAGAAGGGAAUGGGACCCGAGUGUCAGUCUGGACUCUCCAUCUCCCCGCACUACUCCGCUCCCCCUUUUUAGCCCGCUCUCAAAAAGCCUCUUCAACAUCAAGGGCAUCUCCCAAGUUGAAAAGAAAAAAAAUUUCUCUGGAGCCUCUCAGCACUUACUUAUUUAGCAACCGGCUACUCCAACUGUGCUUUCUCCAAACCACACAGCCAGAAAGAGCAAAAAGGGAAAAAAGAAACAAAUCAGAGGCGCUUCCUCUGAAAUAAUAGCGAAAAUAAAAUGGUUUUAUAUAUGCAUCAAUGAUAAGUAGUGUGUUUACACGUCUCCCAUAGCAAUGUCUAAUUAAUCUGGCCAGCAGUUCUCCUG